CAGGUCUUGACAUCCUCUGACCAUCCUAGAGAUAGGACCUUCCCCUUCGGGGGACAGAGUGACAGGUGGUGCAUGGUUGUCGUCAGCUCGUGUCGUGAGAUGUUGGGUUAAGUCCCGCAACGAGCGCAACCCUUGUCCUUAGUUGCCAGCAUUUAGUUGGGCACUCUAAGGAGACUGCCGGUGACAAACCGGAGGAAGGUGGGGAUGACGUCAAAUCAUCAUGCCCCUUAUGACCUGGGCUACACACGUGCUACAAUGGAUGGUACAAAGGGCUGCAAAACCGCGAGGUCGAGCCAAUCCCAUAAAACCAUUCUCAGUUCGGAUUGUAGGCUGCAACUCGCCUACAUGAAGCCGGAAUCGCUAGUAAUCGCGGAUCAGCAUGCCGCGGUGAAUACGUUCCC
rnacentral:rRNA from 1 species